GCCAGACUCCUACGGGAGGCAGCAGUGGGGGAUAUUGCACAAUGGGGGGAACCCUGAUGCAGCGACGCCGCGUGGGUGAAGAAGUAUUUCGGUAUGUAAAGCCCUAUCGGCAGGGAAGAAAUUGGACGGUACCUGACUAAGAAGCCCUGGCUAACUACGUGCCAGCAGCCGCGGUAAUACGUAGGGGGCAAGCGUUAUCCGGAUUCACUGGGUGUAAAGGGAGCGUAGACGGCCAUGCAAGCCUGGAGUGAAAGCCCGGGGCCCAACCCCGGGACUGCUCUGGGAACUGUGCGGCUGGAGUGCGGGAGGGGCAGGCGGAAUUCCUGGUGUAGCGGUGAAAUGCGUAGAUAUCAGGAGGAACACCGGCGGCGAAGGCGGCCUGCCGGACCGCGACUGACGUUGAGGCUCGAAAGCGUGGGGAGCAAACAGGAUUAGAUACCCGAGUAC
rnacentral:rRNA from 1 species